rnacentral:rRNA from 1 species
AUUGAACGCUGGCGGCAUGCCUUACACAUGCAAGUCGAACGGUAACAGGUCUUCGGAUGCUGACGAGUGGCGAACGGGUGAGUAAUACAUCGGAACGUGCCUAGUAGUGGGGGAUAACUACUCGAAAGAGUGGCUAAUACCGCAUGAGAUCUACGGAUGAAAGCAGGGGAUCGCAAGACCUUGUGCUACUAGAGCGGCCGAUGGCAGAGUAGGUAGUUGGUGGGAUAAAAGCUUAACAAGCCGACGAUCUGUAGCUGGUCUGAGAGGACGAUCAGCCACACUGGGACUGAGACACGGCCCAGACUACUACGGGAGGCAGCAGCGGGGAAUUUUGGACAAUGGGCGCAAGCCUGAUCCAGCAAUGCCGCGUGCAGGAUGAAGGCCUUCGGGUUGUAAACUGCUUUUGUACGGAACGAAAAGCCCUGGGUUAAUACCCUGGGGUCAUGACGGUACCGUAAGAAUAAGCACCGGCUAACUACGUGCCAGCCGCCGCAGUAACAC